rnacentral:rRNA from 1 species
CAGCAGCCGCGGUAAUACGAAGGGUGCAAGCGUUACUCGGAAUUACUGGGCGUAAAGCGUGCGUAGGUGGUGGUUUAAGUCCGUUGUGAAAGCCCUGGGCUCAACCUGGGAAUUGCAGUGGAUACUGGGUCACUAGAGUGUGGUAGAGGAUAGUGGAAUUUCCGGUGUAGCAGUGAAAUGCGUAGAGAUCGGAAGGAACAUCUGUGGCGAAGGCGACUAUCUGGGCCAACACUGACACUGAGGCACGAAAGCGUGGGGAGCAAACAGGAUUAGAUACCCCAGUAGUCCUGUCUCUUAUACA